rnacentral:rRNA from 1 species
AAUCCAUAGGUUAAUGAGGCGAACCGGGGGAACUGAAACAUCUAAGUACCCCGAGGAAAAGAAAUCAACCGAGAUUCCCCCAGUAGCGGCGAGCGAACGGGGAGGAGCCCAGAGCCUGAAUCAGCAUGUGUGUUAGUGGAAGCGUCUGGAAAGGCGCGCGAUACAGGGUGACAGCCCCGUACACAAAAGCGCAUGUGCUGUGAGCUCGAUGAGUAGGGCGGGACACGUGGUAUCCUGUCUGAAUAUGGGGGGACCAUCCUCCAAGGCUAAAUACUCCUGACUGACCGAUAGUGAACCAGUACCGUGAGGGAAAGGCGAAAAGAACCCCGGCGAGGGGAGUGAAAAAGAACCUGAAACCGUGUACGUACAAGCAGUGGGAGCACAGGUUUACCUGUGUGACUGCGUACCUUUUGUAUAAUGGGUCAGCGACUUAUAUUCUGUAGCAAGGUUAACCGAAUAGGGGAGCCGGAGGGAAACCGAGUCUUAACCGGGCGUUAAGUUGCAGGGUAUAGACCCGAAACCCGGUGAUCUAGCCAUGGGCAGGUUGAAGGUUGGGUAACACUAACUGGAGGACCGAACCGACUAAUGUUGAAAAAUUAGCGGAUGACCUGUGGCUGGGGGUGAAAGGCCAAUCAAACCGGGAGAUAGCUGGUUCUCCCCGAAAGCUAUUUAGGUAGCGCCUCGUGAAUUCAUCUCCGGGGGUAGAGCACUGUUUCGGCUAGGGGGCCAUCCCGGCUUACCAACCCGAUGCAAACUGCGAAUACCGGAGAAUGUUAUCACGGGAGACACACGGCGGGUGCUAACGUCCGUCGUGAAGAGGGAAACAACCCAGACCGCCAGCUAAGGUCCCAAAGUCAUGGUUAAGUGGGAAACGAUGUGGGAAGGCCCAGACAGCCAGGAUGUUGGCUUAGAAGCAGCCAUCAUUUAAAGAAAGCGUAAUAGCUCACUGGUCGAGUCGGCCUGCGCGGAAGAUGUAACGGGGCUAAACCAUGCACCGAAGCUGCGGCAGCGACACUGUGUGUUGUUGGGUAGGGGAGCGUUCUGUAAGCCUGUGAAGGUGUGUCGUGAGGCAUGCUGGAGGUAUCAGAAGUGCGAAUGCUGACAUAAGUAACGAUAAAGCGGGUGAAAAGCCCGCUCGCCGGAAGACCAAGGGUUCCUGUCCAACGUUAAUCGGGGCAGGGUGAGUCGACCCCUAAGGCGAGGCCGAAAGGCGUAGUCGAUGGGAAACGGGUUAAUAUUCCCGUACUUGGUGUUACUGCGAAGGGGGGACGGAGAAGGCUAUGUUGGCCGGGCGACGGUUGUCCCGGUUUAAGCGUGUAGGUGUGUGUUCCAGGUAAAUCCGGUUCACUUUAACACUGAGGCGUGACGACGAGGCACUACGGUGCUGAAGCAACAAAUGCCCUGCUUCCAGGAAAAGCCUCUAAGCAUCAGGUAACAUCAAAUCGUACCCCAAACCGACACAGGUGGUCAGGUAGAGAAUACCAAGGCGCUUGAGAGAACUCGGGUGAAGGAACUAGGCAAAAUGGUGCCGUAACUUCGGGAGAAGGCACGCUGACACGUAGGUGAAGUGAUUUACUCAUGGAGCUGAAGUCAGUCGAAGAUACCAGCUGGCUGCAACUGUUUAUUAAAAACACAGCACUGUGCAAACACGAAAGUGGACGUAUACGGUGUGACGCCUGCCCGGUGCCGGAAGGUUAAUUGAUGGGGUCAGCGCAAGCGAAGCUCCUGAUCGAAGCCCCGGUAAACGGCGGCCGUAACUAUAACGGUCCUAAGGUAGCGAAAUUCCUUGUCGGGUAAGUUCCGACCUGCACGAAUGGCGUAAUGAUGGCCAGGCUGUCUCCACCCGAGACUCAGUGAAAUUGAACUCGCUGUGAAGAUGCAGUGUACCCGCGGCAAGACGGAAAGACCCCGUGAACCUUUACUAUAGCUUGACACUGAACAUUGAGCCUUGAUGUGUAGGAUAGGUGGGAGGCUUUGAAGUGUGGACGCCAGUCUGCAUGGAGCCGACCUUGAAAUACCACCCUUUAAUGUUUGAUGUUCUAACGUGGACCCGUUACCCGGGUUGCGGACAGUGUCUGGUGGGUAGUUUGACUGGGGCGGUCUCCUCCUAAAGAGUAACGGAGGAGCACGAAGGUUGGCUAAUCCUGGUCGGACAUCAGGAGGUUAGUGCAAUGGCAUAAGCCAGCUUGACUGCGAGCGUGACGGCGCGAGCAGGUGCGAAAGCAGGUCAUAGUGAUCCGGUGGUUCUGAAUGGAAGGGCCAUCGCUCAACGGAUAAAAGGUACUCCGGGGAUAACAGGCUGAUACCGCCCAAGAGUUCAUAUCGACGGCGGUGUUUGGCACCUCGAUGUCGGCUCAUCACAUCCUGGGGCUGAAGUAGGUCCCAAGGGUAUGGCUGUUCGCCAUUUAAAGUGGUACGCGAGCUGGGUUUAGAACGUCGUGAGACAGUUCGGUCCCUAUCUGCCGUGGGCGCUGGAGAACUGAGGGGGGCUGCUCCUAGUACGAGAGGACCGGAGUGGACGCAUCACUGGUGUUCGGGUUGUCAUGCCAAUGGCACUGCCCGGUAGCUAAAUGCGGAAGAGAUAAGUGCUGAAAGCAUCUAAGCACGAAACUUGCCCCGAGAUGAGUUCUCC